rnacentral:tRNA from 1 species
ACUUCUUUAGUAUAAAUGUACAACUGCCUUCCAAGCAGAAAGCUCCACCAAAGGAAAGGAGUA